GACGAACGCUGGCGGCGUGCUUAACACAUGCAAGUCGAACGGAAAGGCCCCUUUGGGGGUACUCGAGUGGCGAACGGGUGAGUAACACGUGAGUAACCUGCCCUUGACUUCGGGAUAACUUCAGGAAACUGGGGCUAAUACCGGAUAGGAAUCCUUGCUGCAUGGUGGGGGUUGGAAAGCUUCGACGGUUUUGGAUGGACUCGCGGCUUAUCAGCUUGUUGGUGGGGUAGUGGCUUACCAAGGCUUUGACGGGUAGCCGGCCUGAGAGGGCGACCGGCCACAUUGGGACUGAGAUACGGCCCAGACUCCUACGGGAGGCAGCAGUGGGGAAUAUUGCACAAUGGGCGGAAGCCUGAUGCAGCAACGCCGCGUGCGGGAUGACGGCCUUCGGGUUGUAAACCGCUUUCAGCAGGGGCGAAGCUUGUGGUGACGGUACCUGCAGAAGAAGCACCGGCUAACUACGUG
rnacentral:rRNA from 1 species